UUCUGGAUGAUAGCGGGUGAACAGGCAGUGGCUCGGGUGGCUGUUGUCCUUGAUGAUCUUUUUGGCCUUCCUGUGGCAUCGGGUGGUGUAGGUGUCUUGGAGGGCAGUUAGUUUGCCCCCGGUGAUGCAUUGUGCAGACCUCAUUUACCUCUGGGGAGCCUUACGUCAGUAAACUUCGGCAAAAAAACAGUAAUUAAAUUCUUGCCAGCAGCACAGUUACAGUCAUCAACGAUCUAGAUAUCAUGACAACAGCCUUAACGAGCUCUGCUAGGGCGAGUAAAAUGGUUAGAGUGAGGUGUUCUCUCAUUUGUGUCUGGAAGUAGCUAGCCAACUUGUGCCAGUUAGCUUGGGUGCUUGCCGUUGUGCGGUCAGAACGUUGGAACCUCCGGAACCUCCGAGAGCGAAACGCUCUGAAUUUAUGAACAGACAAUCUGACAAUGUUCUGAAUUUACGAACGUCCAGAGUGCCAGAGUGAAUUUAGGAACACACAUCGAGAUGCACCUGCCUGCUAUUACUGUAAAUGUGGACCACGAAAAGGCUUUUGACAAGACCUUUCCCUUCCCGCCUCCCUCCCCUCCAGACCUGCUGCCUCCACAGCAGCCCCCUCCCAGGCCAUGGUGUUUUGUAGCGGGCAGGUUCUUGUAGACGGCCCUGGAGUACGGUAUGAAGCAGAGCCCCAACUGGAGGUGACGCGCCAGGCGGCAGUAGGCAGCCAGAGCCAGUACCAGGAGGGGGGUGACCAGGAGGAACCCGACCACUAGGAGGGCCACACAGCCCCCGUCGCUCAGCAGGUCCGAACAGUAGCGGGUCGUCCCCUGAGGGCGCACCUGGGGAGAGGAGAGGGGGCAGUGGAGGAGAGGAGAGGGUUGGUUUUUCUGGUUGAUUAUGUUGCUGUUUUUCACAUGACCAGAAGAAUGUGUUGCACCAACAACGAAGAGAUUGACAUAAUGUUCUUAUGACUGUAUAAUGACAAUAAUGGAAUGUCAAUGCAACAGAAAUGUAUUGAUCUCAAAUGUUGCUAUAGUUUCUGACAAGCUGAUGAAGCGAAUCAAGCUUUCUGUUGGAGUCUUGUCAGAACAGAUGGAGAGAGUUAUUGGUUUCAGCACCCAUGUUCAAGAGAAGUGAAGGAUGGAGGAGUCAGAGACGAAUGCGGGGAUAGACAGAUGGAGGAGAGGAGAGGAGGAGAUGCAGGGAGACGAUGACGUGCCCCUGUUGGAAUGUGUGUCGGAGGUUAUUCAUUAGAGAGCGUGACAACUCUCUGCCUGAAUAGUAGAAGAAGGAGAAGAAAAAGACACACCCCACCGCUUUCCCUCCUUACCGUAG